UGAGUAACCUGCCCUUGACUCUGGAAUAACAGCUGGAAACAGCUGCUAAUACCGGAUACGACCUCCGAUGGCAUCAUCUGGAGGUGGAAAGCUCCGACGGUGAAGGAUGGGGCUCGCGGCCUAUCAGCUUGUUGGUGAGGUGACGGCUCACCAAGGCUUCGGACGGGUAGCCGGCCUGAGAGGGCGACCGGCCACACGUGGGACUGAGAUACCGGCCCAGACCUCGUACGGGGA
rnacentral:rRNA from 1 species